AGAAAGAAACACUGAACAAAAACUCAACACAUGUAGUCCAGUCCAAGUUUGUUUUGUACAUUUCACAUUCACUACAGGAACUAUUGAGUCACAGAAACAAUGCAGCUGCAUUAUUGAGGAAACAUUUGUCCAUUUCUGCAGUUUUGCAUUUGAGACUGUGAAUAAUAAAUAUUGUUUUGACAUCAGUGUUAGUUUUCAAGCUGGUGUUUCAAAUGAUAAUUCUCUUUUACAGCAAUCAGAAUCAAUAUUUACAACACAAAUCCACACUAUAACUACCAGUGAACAGACAUCCUUUUAUAAGCCAUCAGUAUCCUUCUGUAUGCAAAGUGAACUUCCUCACAAUCUGAUAUAAAGACUUGACAUGUUGCUGUCAGCAGAAGAAGAGAAGCUCCAUCAGAUCAGCUUCAGUACCAACAUGUUCUCUGUAGCUCUGCUGCUGCUGCUGGCUGCUGGAUCCUGUGUGAAGUGUGUACAGUUGACUCAGCCACAAUCUGUGACUGUGCAGCCAGGUCAACGUCUCUCCAUCACCUGUCAGGUCUCUUAUUCUGUGAACAGCAUCCACACAGCUUGGAUCAGACAACCUGCAGGAAAAGGACUGGAAUGGAUUGGAAUGAGAAGGACUGGAUACUCAUACUACAAAGAUUCACUGAAGAACAAGUUCAGCAUAGAAUUAGACACUUCCAGCAACAGAGUGACUCUGAAUGGACAGAAUAUGCAGCCUGAAGACUCUGCUGUGUAUUACUGUGCCAGAGACACACAGUGACACAAAUGAUCAGUAGACCUGAACAAAAACCCCUCAGUGUCUGAACACUUGUAACAUGAAGCCACCAGAGGAGGAGCCCUCAGACCAGGAAUGAA